rnacentral:sRNA from 1 species
UUUUAGCCCAGAUAUAAACGAAAACCCCGGACUUAUAUUUGUUAGUUUUUUUGGAAUAAAAAAGCGACCGGCGGAAGCUCUUUUUAUGACUUAAAAAAACAACAAAGAUAAGGAGGAGUUGUAGUGUAUAGCUGGAAAUGGC